GCAGACCCGCCGAGGAACGUCUGGGUGCCUGGAUGGAGUGUGAUUCACUCACAGAGCGGAGCGGUGGGAAACACUGAGCCGAUUGUCGUCUGGCUUCGCCAGACGUUUCAUUUGAAGACUUUAUUCAGGCUGACAUGUGCCACAGAGAAAACAUCACUCAGAGUCCAGAGUUCCUGUGCCAGGGAGCUGAUUGGUAGAAAAUGAGGUGCCUGUUUGGGCUGAGGGACCACAUACGUAAACUGAAUAGCACUGCAGAUAGAGGGAGGUAGUUCCUGUUUCUCCAUUCAAGACUUUUAACUGAACCUGGUUUGUGUUCUGUCACUUUUUACUGUCCUGUGUCAUUUCUCACUGACGUCGCUGCACAUGAGAGCAGCUAGGGCACAUGUUUACCACCUCCACCUCCCGGCCCAUCAUCCUCACUCCCAAACCAGCACCCUUGGGACUCACACACAAUCAAAGAGUAGAAGAAGAAGCCUCAUCUGUCGGCCAUCUUAGACUCCACACCUGACUGUGCAUGUGAAUAUUUUCUUUCUGCCUUCCAUAAAGUAAGGCUCCAUGUUUUGGUUUUGUUUUGCCAUCGUUUCCUCUCUGCCUCCUCCUCACAUCCUACCGCACCACCCUCCGGAACAAUGCCCUGCGGUGAAGUCGCGAGGAGCAGCCAAAGCCGAAAACAAUGUGAGGGGCGUCGCGUGCCUCGGCAGGGGGCGGUUCGUGCCCGGGUCCUCACCGGGGGGACCUGCAGCGGGCCCGGCCCGAACCAGACUCCUUCUGUCCUUCUCUGGAGGAAUGAGUGAAUGGAGGAAUUCAAUAGGGAUGACCUUUCACCUUAUCAGCCGAUCCCCUUGAUGCGUGGGGAGAGCAAAGUGAAUUAGAGAUUGAGGUGCGGAGGCUGAUUGACCCCCCCCUCCGCCACGUCGUCCUCCUCCGCCGCUUUCCAACCGAGACCAAAGUCGAGAUGCAAAGAAAAGAGGGAGACAGAGAGAAGAUCUUUGAAAAGCUGCCACGAGUUCCCUGUCACACCGCCUCCUGCGUGGAUUGAGCCUCGCUCUUUGUUAUCCGCAGGCAUGAAUACUGAGUGGAUGUAAAGAGAAAAGGCCCAGGAGAAGGGGGGGGGGGGGCAACGGGCUGCGUCUGCAUUAAAGGACGAAACACACCCGAGAUGACCUGCGAUAUUUCUUCAACAUCUUUUAAAGGUCCCGAGAGUUUUAAUUCCUUUACUGUGCUCUCGGUCCCUGAUCCACUUUUACAUUUAAAAUGCCACAGACUGGAAUUAGUAAUAAAUGAACACGCGGUAUUUAACCGCA
rnacentral:lncRNA from 1 species